CCCGCUGAACUUAAGCAUAUCAAUAAGCGGAGGAAAAGAAACCAACAGGGAUUGCCUCAGUAACGGCGAGUGAAGCGGCAACAGCUCAAAUUUGAAAUCUGGCCUCGCGGCCCGAGUUGUAAUUUGUAGAGGAUGCUUCGAGCAUGGUCUGGCCUAAGUUCCUUGGAACAGGACGUCAUAGAGGGUGAGAAUCCCGUAUGCGGCCAGGUGCCUACGCUCAUGUGAAGCUCCUUCGACGAGUCGAGUUGUUUGGGAAUGCAGCUCAAAAUGGGUGGUAAAUUUCAUCUAAAGCUAAAUAUUGGCCAGAGACCGAUAGCGCACAAGUAGAGUGAUCGAAAGAUGAAACGCACUUUGGAAAGAGAGUUAAACAGUACGUGAAAUUGUUGAAAGGGAAGCGCUUGCAACCAGACUUGCGCGCGGCCGAUCAUCCGGUGUUCUCACCGGUGCACUCGGUCGUGCUCAGGCCAGCAUCGGUUUCGGUGGUUGGAUAAAGGCCCUAGGAAUGUAGCUUCUCUCGGGGAGUGUUAUAGCCUAGGGUGCAAUGCAGCCUACCGGGACCGAGGACCGCGCUUCGGCUAGGAUGCUGGCGUAAUGGCUUUAAUCGACCCGUCUUGAAACACGG
rnacentral:rRNA from 1 species